CACAUGCCAAAAGCAUCUGGUUAACUGACUAAUCUUCAAACAAUGAAGAACUUUGUAUUAGGAAGGGUUUUUCUGUUUGCACCAUGUGAAAACUAUGUAAUUUCUUACUCUAAGGGUUUUUCUGUUUUCCUAUUGGCAAUCUCAUCUCACUCUCAAAGUCUGAUAUUGUUUCAUGUGACAAUUUAACUUUGCUACCAGAAGAGAUUUGCCACAUCCAUGGUUUAGCAUCAUUAAAAAAUUUGGCACUGUUCCAAAUUGGAAGAAAGGUGCGAGAAAGAUGGAGAAGAUCGGCCCAAGAUCACCUAUAUCCCCAACGUAUGGAUUUGUUAAUGAAUCCCUAAACUUUAAUAAUCAGUUCGCAUAGCUUGGUUCUGAGUAGAGAGAAGGCCAUCAACCAUACAACAGAAGCAGGUGAAAGAAGAAAAGAGACUGUCCAACAGAGUUAAUGAAUGUCAGUCUUCUUCAUUUCAUUCCAUGUAAUAUUGUCAAGCUAUAUUUGUGAACCUUUUACUAUUGAUAGUUGUGUUUUGUUCAUUGUUUUCUACUUGCUUAAUUCAUAGCAAAAGAAACAAUAUGAUUAGUAGCCAAACAUGUUUAGCUCAUACAAGAGAUUCAAUAAAUGGUUAACAAAGGAAUGUUUAGUUA